GGACGAACGCUGGCGGCGUGCUUAACACAUGCAAGUCGAACGAUGAAGCUGUGCUUGCACAGUGGAUUAGUGGCGAACGGGUGAGUAACACGUGAGUAACCUGCCCUCCACUUUGGGAUAACUCCGAGAAAUCGGGGCUAAUACUGGAUAUGACUAUGGCCCGCAUGGGUUGUGGUGGAAAGUUUUUCGGUGGGGGAUGGGCUCGCGGCCUAUCAGUUUGUUGGUGAGGUAGUGGCUCACCAAGGCGAUGACGGGUAGCCGGCCUGAGAGGGCGACCGGCCACACUGGGACUGAGACACGGCCCAGACUCCUACGGGAGGCAGCAGUGGGGAAUAUUGCACAAUGGGCGAAAGCCUGAUGCAGCGACGCCGCGUGGGGGAUGACGGCCUUCGGGUUGUAAACCUCUUUCAGCAAGGAAGAAGCGAAAGUGACGGUACUUGCAGAAGAAGCGCCGGCUAACUACGUGCCAGCAGCCGCGGUAAUACGUAGGGCGCAAGCGUUGUCCGGAAUUAUUGGGCGUAAAGGGCUUGUAGGUGGCUUGUCGCGUCUGCCGUGAAAACCCAGGGCUUAACUCUGGGCGUGCGGUGGGUACGGGCAGGCUAGAGUGCGGUAGGGGAGACUGGAAUUCCUGGUGUAGCGGUGAAAUGCGCAGAUAUCAGGAGGAACACCGAUGGCGAAGGCAGGUCUCUGGGCCGUUACUGACACUGAGAAGCGAAAGCAUGGGGAGCGAACAGGAUUAGAUACCCUGGUAGUCCAUGCCGUAAACGUUGGGCACUAGGUGUGGGGAGCAUUCCACGUUUUCCGCGCCGUAGCUAACGCAUUAAGUGCCCCGCCUGGGGAGUACGGCCGCAAGGCUAAAACUCAAAGGAAUUG
rnacentral:rRNA from 1 species